UACAGAGGUGGCAAGCGUUGUUCGGAAUUACUGGGCGUAAAGGGCGCGUAGGCGGCCUUCUAAGUCAGACGUGAAAUCCCCCGGCUUAACCUGGGAACUGCGUCUGAUACUGGGAGGCUUGAGUAUGGGGAGAGGGAUGUAGAAUUCCAGGUGUAGCGGUGAAAUGCGUAGAUAUCUGAAGGAAUACCGGUGGCGAAGGCGGCAUCCUGGACCAUAACUGACGCUGAGGCGCGAAAGCUAGGGGAGCAAACGGG
rnacentral:rRNA from 1 species